rnacentral:tRNA from 1 species
AAUAAAUUCUCUAACACU